rnacentral:rRNA from 1 species
AAACUUUUAACAACGGAUCUCUUGGCUCUCGCAUCGAUGAAGAACGCAGCGAAAUGCGAUAAGUAAUGUGAAUUGCAGAAUUCAGUGAAUCAUCGAAUCUUUGAACGCACCUUGCGCUCCUUGAUAUUCCGAGGAGCAUGCCUGUUUGAGUGUCAUA